rnacentral:rRNA from 1 species
CGACCCCAGGUCAGGCGGGGGCUACCCGCUGAGUUUA